rnacentral:rRNA from 1 species
AACUAACGCUGGCGGCGUGCCUAACACAUGCAAGUCGUACGAGAAAGCCGGCUUCGGCUGGUGAGUAAAGUGGCGCACGGGUGAGUAACGCGUGGAUAAUCUGCCCUUAAGUGUGGAAUAACGUACCGAAAGGUGCGCUAAUACCGCAUAAUGCCUGGCAACACAAGUUGUCCGGCCAAAGAAGGCCUCUGUUUACAAGCUUUCGCUUCAGGAUGAGUCCGCGUACCAUUAGCUUGUUGGUGGGGUAAUGGCCUACCAAGGCUGCGAUGGUUAGCUGGUCUGAGAGGAUGAUCAGCCACACUGGAACUGAGACACGGUCCAGACUCUACGGGAGCAGCAGUGAGGAAUAUUGCGCAAGUGGGGCAACCCUGACGCAGCAACGCCGCGUGAGUGAGGAAGGUUUUCGGACUGUAAAGCUCUGUCGGAGCGGGAAGAAGUCGUACCAUGGCUAAUAUCCAUGAUAUUGACGGUACGCUAGAGAAGACCG